UACGUAGGGUGCGAGCGUUGUCCGGAAUUAUUGGGCGUAAAGGGCUCGUAGGCGGUUUGUCGCGUCGGGAGUGAAAACCUCGGGCUUAACUCGGGGCUUGCUUUCGAUACGGGCAGACUAGAGGUAUGCAGGGGAGAACGGAAUUCCUGGUGUAGCGGUGAAAUGCGCAGAUAUCGGGAGGAACACCAGUGGCGAAAGCGCCUUGCUGGGCCAGUACUGACGCUGAGGAACGAAAGCUAGGGGAGCGAAAGGG
rnacentral:rRNA from 1 species